ACGCGUAGGGCGCAAGCGUUGUCCGGAUUUAUUGGGCGUAAAGGGCUCGUAGGCGGUUUCGUAAGUCGGGUGUGAAAACUCAGGGCUCAACCCUGAGACGCCACUCGAUACUGCGAUGACUUGAGUCCGGUAGGGGAGCAGGGAAUUCCUGGUGUAGCGGUGAAAUGCGCAGAUAUCAGGAGGAACACCAUUAGCGAAGGCGCUGCUCUGGGCCGGUACUGACGCUGAGGAGCGAAAGCAUGGGGAGCAAACAGGAUUAGAUACCCCAGUAGUCC
rnacentral:rRNA from 1 species